rnacentral:rRNA from 1 species
CCUACGGGCGGCAGCAGUGGGGAAUAUUGCGCAAUGGGCGAAAGCCUGACGCAGCGACGCCGCGUGAGGGAUGAAGGUCUUCGGAUCGUAAACCUCUGUCAGCAGGGAAGAACGGAAACUGUGCUAAUCAGCAGUGAAUUGACGGUACCUGCAAAGGAAGCACCGGCUAACUCCGUGCCAGCAGCCGCGGAAAUACGGAGGGUGAGAGCGUUAAUCGGAAGUACUGGGCGUAAAGCGCUCGUAGGCGGUAUGUCAAGUCAAGGGUGAAAUCCCCGCGCUCAACGUGGGAACUGCCUUUGAAACUGUAAAACUGGAGUGUGUGAGAGGAUAGUGGAAUUCCAGGUGUAGGAGUGGAAUCCGUAGAUAUCUGGAGGAACAUCAGUGGCGAAGGCGACUAUCUGGCACAUAACUGACGCUGAGGAGCGAAAGCGUGGGUAGCAAACAGGAUUAGAUACCCCAGUAGUC